AAACCAGCACCUCAAGUGGUCAGGAGGAUUAUUGGGCCUAAAGCAUCCGUAGCCUGCUGCAUAAGUUUUCGGUUAAAUCCAUACGCUCAACGUAUGGGCUGCCGGGAAUACUGUGCAGCUAGGGAGUGGGAGAGGUAGACGGUACUCGGUAGGAAGGGGUAAAAUCCUUUGAUCUAUUGAUGACCACCUGUGGCGAAGGCGGUCUACCAGAACACGUUCGAUGGUGAGGGAUGAAAGCUGGGGGAGCAAACCGGAUUAGAAACCCGGGUAGUCC
rnacentral:rRNA from 1 species